rnacentral:lncRNA from 1 species
UAACAUGUUGAAUUCUCAGAUAUAUAGGCAUUUUACACUAUAACGUACAGGUAAGAUAUGGUGUUUUUAGAAAAACAGACUAUUUACUAAAUAAAAUACGGAUAAAAUGUUGUGCUCUCAGAUAUAUAGGCAUUUUAUAAUAUAACUUACAGUUAAGAUGCGGUGUUUUCAUAAAAAUAAGUUAUUUACUCCACGAAUUACGGGUAAGAUGUUGGGUUCUCGGAUAUAUAGGCUUUUUACACUAUAACUUACCGGUAAGAUAUAGUGUUUUUAGAAAAAUAAGUUAUUUACUCCUUCAAUUACGGGUAAGAUGUUGAGUUUUCAGAUAUAUAUGCCUUUUACACUAUAAC